rnacentral:lncRNA from 1 species
UUCAGACAUUAAAUCCCAUGAAUAAAAUCGGCCCGUAAACUUUCAAAGAACUAGGAUCUUGGAACUUGAAUAAAAUGGCUCAAUAAAUUAGAUUGUUUGCCCUAAUAAAAAGAUUUAGCUACUCAUAAUGCAGGAAGAAAAACAAAGAAUAAUAUUGGAGUACAUCACCCUGUUUUGAAAUGAGAUAUAGAGAAGUGGAUGAAUCUUGUACCUAGUUUCUCAUCUUGCUCCAAAUCUUGAUUCCAAACUCUAACUCUUGAUUUCUUGUUCUUUUUCUUUGAUUUCCUCUUCUUCUUCAAUGAUUUCUCUUUGAUUCUCCAAUGGUAUUUACAUCUUCUUGAAGUCCUCUG